GUACUCUCUUAGCAGCACAUCUACUAAAACUGAAAUAAUACAGAAGACGAGUAGUAUGACUCCUGUGCAAGGAUGACAUGCAAAUUUGUGUGAGGCAUUUCAUAUUUUU
ensembl:snRNA U6 U6 spliceosomal RNA